UGCAGUGGGUACGGGCAGACUAGAGUGCGGUAGGGGAGAUUGGAAUUCCUGGUGUAGCGGUGGAAUGCGCAGAUAUCAGGAGGAACACCGAUGGCGAAGGCAGAUCUCUGGGCCGUAACUGACGCUGAGGAGCGAAAGCAUGGGGAGCGAACAGGAUUAGAUACCCUGGUAGUCCAUGCCGUAAACGUUGGGAACUAGAUGUAGGGGCCAUUCCACGGUUUCUGUGUCGCAGCUAACGCAUUAAGUUCCCCGCCUGGGGAGUACGGCCGCAAGGCUAAAACUCAAAGGAAUUGACGGGGGCCCGCACAAGCGGCGGAGCAUGCGGAUUAAUUCGAUGCAACGCGAAGAACCUUACCAAGGCUUGACAUAUACCGGAAAGCCACAGAAAUGUGGGCCCCGCAAGGUCGGUAUACAGGUGGUGCAUGGUUGUCGUCAGCUCGUGUCGUGAGAUGUUGGGUUAAGUCCCGCAACGAGCGCAACCCUCGUUCUAUGUUGCCAGCACGUUAUGGUGGGAACUCAUAGGAGACUGCCGGGGUCAACUCGGAGGAAGGUGGGGAUGACGUCAAAUCAUCAUGCCCCUUAUGUCUUGGGCUUCACGCAUGCUACAAUGGCCGAUACAAAGGGCUGCAAUACCGUAAGGUGGAGCGAAUCCCAAAAAGCCGGUCUCAGUUCGGAUUGAGGUCUGCAACUCGACCUCAUGAAGUCGGAGUCGCUAGUAAUCGCAGAUCAGCAACGCUGCGGUGAAUACGUUCCCGGGCCUUGUACACACCGCCCGUCAAGUCAUGAAAGUCGGUAACACCCGAAGCCGGUGGCCCAACCCCUUG
rnacentral:rRNA from 1 species